CAAAUAUUACACAUAGGGACAGCAACCCAUGGCUCUAGCCACAUGUGUAGCAAAGGAUGGCCUUGUCAAGCAUCAAUGGAUAGAGAGGCCCUUGGUUCUGUGAAGGCUCUAUGCCCCAGUGAAAGAAAAUGCCAGGGUAGGGAGGCAGGAGGGCCUGGGUUUGGGUGGAUGAGCACCCUCAUAGAGGCAGGGUUAGGCGUAAUGGAAUAGAUGGUUUCCAAAGGAGAAACCAGUAAAGGGACUAACAUUUCAAAUGUAAAUGAAGAAAAAUUCAAUAAAAAAAGAAAAAGUAGAAUUUCUUCUACAGAAAUAAAAAAAAA
rnacentral:lncRNA from 1 species